AUGACAUUUGGUCAUCUGCCAUUGCAUUCCUUUACGUGUAUGAUCAAGUGGUUCCCUGAGGGCUUUGAUGAUCAGGGCAGAGGCAGAAGGCACCACCUCAAUCUGGGCCUGUCUGUUCUGAAUGGUCAGUUUCACUGUAAUCCUCAGGCCCUUCCGGUAACCCGUUGCCUUGGCAAUGUUAUCACCAACCUUUUUUGGAGACAGACCCAGGGGGCCGAUCUUGGGGGC
rnacentral:lncRNA from 1 species